UUCACACUGUCAAGAAAAGCUUCUAUCGAGUUUAAAGGCGCCCGUACCGUAAACCGACACAGGUGGGUGAGGAGAGUAUCCUAAGGCCAGCGAUAGAACUAUUGUUAAGGAACUCGGCAAAAUGACCCCGUAACUUAGGGAGAAGGGGUGCCUGUCUAUGACAGGCCGCAGAGAAUAGGCCCAAGCGACUGUUUACCAAAAACACAGGUUUCUGCUAAGUCGUAAGACGAUGUAUAGGAGCUGACGCCUGCCCGGUGCUGGAAGGUUAAGGGGAUCUGUUAGAGCAAUCGAAGCAGUGAACUUAAGCCCCAGUAAACGGCGGCCGUAACUAUAACGGUCCUAAGGUAGCGAAAUUCCUUGUCGGGUAAGUUCCGACCCGCACGAAAGGCGUAACGAUUUGGGCACUGUCUCAACAAUAGACUCGGUGAAAUUGUAAUCCCGGUGAAGAUGCCGGGUACCUGCGACAGGACGGAAAGACCCCAUGGAGCUUUACUGUAGCUUGACGUUGGGUCUUGGUACUACAUGUACAGGAUAGGUGGGAGACUAUGAAGCAUGGACGCCAGUCUGUGUGGAGUCAUCCUUGGGAUACCACCCUUGUAGUACUGGGAUCCUAACCAUAGGCCUUGAAUCAGGUCUUGGAACACCGUCAGGUGGGCAGUUUGACUGGGGCGGUCGCCUCCUAAAAAGUAACGGAGGCGCUCAAAGGUUUCCUCAGCACGGUCGGAAAUCGUGCGAAGAGUGUAAAGGCAAAAGGAAGCUUGAUUGCAAGACAUACAGGUCGAGCAAGGACGAAAGUCGGACUUAGUGAUCCGGUGGUACCGCAUGGAAGGGCCAUCGCUCAACGGAUAAAAGCUACCCUGGGGAUAACAGGCUUAUCUCCCCCAAGAGUCCACAUCGACGGGGAGGUUUGGCACCUCGAUGUCGGCUCAUCACAUCCUGGGGCUGUAGUAGGUCCCAAGGGUUGGGCUGUUCGCCCAUUAAAGUGGUACGCGAGCUGGGUUCAGAACGUCGUGAGACAGUUCGGUCCCUAUCCGUCGCAGGCGUAGGAAAUUUGAGAAGACCUGUCCUUAGUACGAGAGGACCGGGAUGGACGUACCUCUGGUGUACCAGUUGUUCUGCCAAGGGCAUAGCUGGGUAGCUAUGUACGGAAUGGAUAAGCGCUGAAAGCAUCUAAGCGCGAAGCCAACUUCAAGAUAAGAUUUCCCACCGUAAGGGUAAGACCCCAGGAAGACUACCUGGUUGAUAGGUCGAAGGUGUAAGUGCAGUAAUGUAUUAGCUUAUCGAUACUAAUAGGUCGAGGACUUGAC
rnacentral:rRNA from 1 species